UCUACGGGAGGCAGCAGUGGGGGAUAUUGCACAAUGGGGGAAACCCUGAUGCAGCGACGCCGCGUGGGUGAAGAAGCGCCUCGGCGCGUAAAGCCCUGUCAGCAGGGAAGAAAAUGACGGUACCUGAAGAAGAAGCCCCGGCUAACUCCGUGCCAGCAGCCGCGGUCAUACGUAGGGGGCAAGCGUUAUCCGGAUUUACUGGGUGUAAAGGGGGCGCAGACGGCGAUGCAAGCCAGGAGUGAAAGCCCGGGGCCCAACCCCGGGACUGCUCUUGGAACUGCGUGGCUAGAGUGCAGGAGGGGCAGGCGGAAUUCCUGGUGUAGCGGUGAAAUGCGUAAAUAUCAGGAGGAACACCGGUGGCGAAGGCGGCCUGCUGGACUGCAACUGACGUUGAGGCCCGAAAGCGUGGGGAGCAAACAGGAUUAGAUACCCUAGUAGUC
rnacentral:rRNA from 1 species